ensembl:lncRNA
AUGAGGCCCAUGCUGGGCUCAAUGCACUGGAUCAUGGCAUUCCUGUCCAGCUUCAGUUGACGCUGGCAGCGCAGGAAGAGGCUCUCUAUCAAUCUGACCUGCCCCUAGCGGAUCCCAUGGAUGGCAGCCAGCCUGUGAGUUCUGGCACUUCCAGUGGUAAUGGGCUGAUACACCAUUGCUGCAAACGCUGCAGGUCUGAAGUUUAUCUGGUUGGUUAACAGUGCGGGAUGAGAAUUUGUGGCAGUUUCUCACUGAGUUUCUCCAAGCACAGAGGAUUUGAACUGUAAUAAAUGCUGGAAGACAUCGGAUAGCUGCCAGCCUGUGGAUCUUUGUCCCCGGUUCCCAAGUAGCAGACAGGUCUUGUUAUCGUCUGGGCAAACCUGGAAGUCAAACUUUUCGCUCUCCUGCGGUGUUUGUUUGUCAUCUGUGCUGUAAAUGUCUCCAGCCAGCUUACUCCAGCGGGUGGGGAAUGGCAUAUAGCUUCCCAUUUAAAC